AUGAAAUAGGUAAAAUCGACGCCACCUACUGGUAGCGUCAACAAAAUACGAGUAGCGCAACUUAGCUUUUAUUGUGCUUACUUUCGUCUUUGUCAAUGGUAGAUGGAGAAUGUUUCUGUUCUCUUUUCGUCCAGAUCUGAUUCCAUUAAGACUUUGCAGAAGAUUUGCUUGAAAAUAAUACCCCAUUCCGCCUAUGAAUUUGUUUUAAAAAAAUGGAAGUACCUAUUAAUAACUGGGAGUUUAAAAAACCUGGCGUGCCAUCACUUUUGCACAUCUGUUCGGUAAAAAUAGCUAUACCAUUGUUCAAAAGCUUUGAUAUUGAAAUUUGGCAAACCAUCUUGAAAGAAAUGAAGCAUGCUGCAGUUCCUGCUAGGCCUGAAAUUCUCGAGGUUAACAAUGCAAAGGAAAAGUUACUUCUCAUUCCUGCACAUUUAAGACUCGGAAUAUUAGAGACAAUUAUGAGCAUGGAUUUGGAAGUUGCGGAAUAUUGUUUGAUAAAUCCUUUUGUGGAAUUAAAGGAUGUAUUUAAAACCAUUGAUUUUAAAACUGAUGGGACAAUUAAGAUAAUUCAACCUGUUAAUGAUUUUUAUAUGUGUGAAGAUGAUAUUAAUUGCGAACCGAUGUGUGAUUUAGGUAGCUAUAUCGGGGACUUAUGCGUAUACAGUAUGUUAGGAGAGAAGAAAUAUUCAGAGUUUAUGGCCAGCUAUGGAGAUGGCAACUGGAAUGGCAACCUAUCAUUUGAUGAAUCCGAUAUCCUUUGAAGAACCCGAUUCCCUUUUUUUGGUUAGAAGGAUGUGCCGUAAACAUCUGGUUCCAUGGAUAGAUGAGGUUUCAAAAUACCUUGAUCUUCCUGAACAAUUUUUUGAAAUUCCGAUUCCAAGAUUCAGUGUUUUCUUUCCUUUCUUACAGCCAAAGACAGGCAGAAGUACUUUCUCUUUAAUGAAGACUACAUCUGAUGAUUUCCUAUUCUGUCUGUAUAGAGUAACUAAAGAAGAAGCGCAAAUAUUGAAAAUGGAUACUGCGAAACUCCUCUAUUUGGAUUGGCCGCUGCAAAGUUCCUUUCUUCAAAUUGUAGAAAAAUUAUGGAAUUUUAUUGAUUAUUUUCUUUUUAAAGCAGUACUAGAGAUUAUCUACUCGUACAGUGCGGCGAGGAAGGAUUUUGAUUACGAGGCACUUUGUAUGGACGUUUGGGAAAGAAGGAAGCCCUGAUAACUUGAAGGAAGAGGCAAAGACGUGCCCAGUUUUCUACUACAGAAUUCAAUUGUUUUUAAAUUCAAUUAUUAGAAAGAGAAAACAUGAUUCCGAUAAACCGAUAGAUCCGAAAAAGAAAAUCAUCCGCUUACUGACCAGAAGUGGAUGCGGAUGCUUCAGUAAACCACUUUUGUGCCGCCAUGUUCACCUUUCUUUUAAAUCUACCAUAACCUACACAUGAUAAUAAAUUGUAACAGUACUUUGUAAACGUGUUACUGAAAUCAAUUAUUUCUAUCAACAUCGGAGUUUGUAUUAAAUAUUGGUUUGUCCAAGAGAAUGUUUGUGGUACUUGCUUUUUAACAAAUGAAAUAUAUUAAUUAAACAUUUGAGUACAUAUUUAUAUAUUUUAAUUCUGGGAAUUUAUAAAAUUUCACUGUUCUUCACA